CCCAUUAGACUUUGACCCAACACCCGGCGUCUGUGCCGGGUGGUGACCCGAGGAGC
rnacentral:ncRNA from 1 species